UCAUUGAAGAAUAACAGAAAGUAAAAAAAAUGACUAAUAUACAUAAAUUUAUUAUAGCAGUCUUCGUUGCGGCUCUUCUAUGCUCAACAGGUACGGCCAAAAUUCAACUUCAACUUCUUACAGUGAAAUGUUUUGGUGCUUGUAACCUAUAUCAUGAUUGUAAUUCAUACUGCAUUGGUCAAGGCUAUGUGUUGGGGGAUUGUAUUCCAAAAGAAAAUAAAACUUGUUGUUGUUACACAUAUUAAUAUUUGAAGCUAUAGAUUUUCUUCUUGUUUGAAGAAAACAUAAUGUUUUAUAAAUAUAUGUAAGUUUCAUUAUAAGGAAAUAAAACAUGAAAUGUUAUCAUAAA